UCGGGAAUAUUGCGCAAUGGAGGGAACUCUGACGCAGUGACGCCGCGUGCAGGAAGAAGGUUUUCGGAUUGUAAACUGCUUUAGACAGGGAAGAAAAAAGACAGUACCUGUAGAAUAAGCUCCGGCUAACUACGUGCCAGCAGCCGCGGUAAUACGUAGGGAGCGAGCGUUAUCCGGAUUUAUUGGGUGUAAAGGGUGCGUAGACGGGAAAUUAAGUUAGUUGUGAAAUCCCUCGGCUUAACUGAGGAACUGCAACUAAAACUGAUUUUCUUGAGUACUGGAGAGGAAAGUGGAAUUCCUAGUGUAGCGGUGAAAUGCGUAGAUAUUAGGAGGAACACCAGUGGCGAAGGCGGCUUUCUGGACAGAAACUGACGUUGAGGCACGAAAGUGUGGGGAGCAAACAGGAUUAGAUACC
rnacentral:rRNA from 1 species